rnacentral:lncRNA from 1 species
UACAAAUGCUAGCUUCUCCUGUGGAAAGUAGGACUGUUUAGUCUGUACUUGUCUACAUUUUAGUUAGCUGCUUUUAAGAUCAUUAUUUGGGUGAUGUCUGAAAGAGUGCUCAUGAAGUCUUCAUGCAGCUCAUUGGGUGAUUUAUUGUGCAGAUAUUCUCUGAAGGUGGUCUAUAGAUGUGCAUUUCUCACUCAUCUACAGAGAAAUAUCAUACAGCAAAAGAGAAAGCAGACAGAUAAUGCUCAUGGUAAGAACUACGUACUGUUCUUUGGACAGAAUAUUGAUUUCUAACAUGAUCACUGGUAUAUUCUAAUACUUGGGAAAAUGAACCUAGUAAACAUUUAGUAAUUGAAAAGAAAGAUAAUGAGUUGUCUUCUUUAAGACCAAAAGUCCAGUUGCAGGUUAUAGUGGGAGUGUCCCUCUUAGUUUCUAUACAAGACAUGCGUACAUGACAAGGGAGUUGGCAAUGAUGAAGUGGAGAGGAGAAAAAGGAAUAAACAUUGAGAAAGGAAGAGAGAGUGAGUACAGUAAGUAAAUGAAGGAAAAAGAAGCUGUGAAGGCAGAGAAAUUUCAGUAAUGUACCAGAAGGAAAAGUCCAGUGUAUUGAAAAUAUGGAAGGAAUAUGUGUGUUUCCCUUAUGAACAUGACUGAAGGUAUGAGUGAAUUUUGUGUGUUUUGGUUUUGUGUUUUUUCAGGUAGGAACUGAAUCAGUACCUAUUACUUUAUCUGGGAUAGACACAGAUUGCAUAAGAUUCUCACUACAAAAUAUUUUGUUGGAAAGAAUACUGUUCUUUACCCUCUACCUUCUUUCUAUUGAUUUCUCAGUUUAUUCUCAUCUUCCUCAGGGAAUCCUUUCUGUAGAUCAGUUUCCUUUAUUACAUCACAAAACUCUUUUUUAAUAUCAUCUUUCUGAGUUUAUGUUUGUCUUCUCCAAUAGACUUUAAGCUAAAGAAUAGAAAGAGGUCGCAUCUACUUUAUCUGCAGAGUACAGCAGAAUGUGUCACAUGUUGUAGGCACUCAUUGGUUUACUGCAUGAAUAAUGCAUGUGAAAUAUACAGCAUUAAUAUAUGUAAUUACUCACAUAUUUUGUUUCUUCUUUCCUUUCUUUCUGACAGAGUCUAUUAGCCUGUCGAAAUCCCAGAAAGCAAUUCUAUCACGUCAAAGAAUAAUAAAACUUAAAAAAAGUCACUGCUCACAAUGUUCACUACAUGUUAAAAAAAAAUCACACCUGGAAAAUGAGAUGCAGGAGCUAAAAAAGAGGGUAUCAAAGUUUAAGCACGAAAAUGCAGAAUUGAAACAACAACUCCACAAUUUGAGGUAUUAUAUCCUAGAUUGAAAGAAGGGGUGGAACCCUUUCCUUUAUUACAGUCAAAAUAGAAGGAUAAUUUUUUUAACUGCAGACCUGUUAGCAUUUUCAAGGGAGAAUACUUGAAUAAAAUAUAAAAUUCUUACAAAUAAGAUAACAUAUUAUUAAAUGUGAUUAUUCUAAAAAUUAAAUGAAUAUUUUUCCCUGACACAAUUUUAAUGGCUACAUGAAACCCCAUCUGCUAGAAAUCUGUUUGUUUUACAAACAAAAUUUGGGGUUGCUAUUUGUUUAUAUUUUAAGUUAUUUUAUUAAAAUUAACAUUUCAAGAAAUAUCAUUUAGAAAAAAAAUGAUUUUCCCCUCAGAUGCUAUGGCAUGUGCCUAUAAUUCCAGCAGCUAGGGAGACAGAGGCAGGAGGACCAAAAGUUCAAAGCAAGACUAGCAACUUAUCAAGGUCCUAAGCAAAUUAGUGAGACCCUGUCUCAAAAUUAAAAAGAAAGAAAAGAAAAAGGCCUUGGGAUGUAGCUUAGUUGUUUAGCUCUUGUGAGUUCAAUCUCUGGUACCAAAGGUGGGAGUGAGAAGAAGAGAAAAGGAAAGAAAAAAAUUAUUUUCUAUAUAUUUCUUUACUUUUAAAAAAUAUUUCAAUAUAGAGUUAUUUGGUUAAAAUAGGGGAACUUUAAAAAAGAUAUUUGAUCAGAGUUUCUAAAUUGCUCUCAGGAAAGUGUGUAUUCCACCAAUGCAUCAUUUUUUACUGUCCUGAAACAUGUUUUUAUACAUUUAUACUUUUUCUUCUAAUGCUUGGGAUCAACCCCAGGGUUUUGUGUGACUAGUAUAAUGUGCUAGUGCUCAGCCAGACCCUCAGCUACACUUUUAUCAUUAAUAUUCAUUUAAAAAUGAAAUGGAAACUGAUUAUUUGUUAUUUUAUUCAAAUUUACUCUCAUUCAUAAAUCAAAUUUUUUCAGAAUUCUAUAUUUAAAAACAAACUUUUUUACUCUUUUUAGGUUUAUAUGACAAUAGAGUAUAUAUUGAUAUAAAGUUAUUCUUGUUAUGGCUAAUAUUCCACUGUGCAUAUAUCAUAUUUCCUUUAUCCAUUCAUCUGUUGAAAAGCAUUACUAUUUAUUAUUGGAUUAAAUAUUAGAUACUCUCUUGUUCCAAAGUGGAUUUUAAUUUGUUUGUAAAAUACAUAAUGAUCAACAAGGGAAGUUGAAAGUGUUACCAUAAAAGAAACAUAAUAACAGGUAUUAUAUUUCUUAUCCCAGUUUGGGGUUAUAGUAACACAAGAUAUAUAUGUUGAAAGAAGAAUUCUGAAUAUGCUGUUACAUUGUAAGUCAAUUCUAGGUGUACCUUACAUACUUUAUGAAGAUAAAUCAUAUUACUACUUAAUUCAUAAAUUUGUAUAUAAACAAUAAGUCUUUAAAACUUAUUUGACUUGAAAUUAUCUUUUUAACUGGGGAGGAUCUAUGAUAGUGCAAAAAAAGAUAACUUUGAACUUGUCAAUUUACCAAAUUAUUUCAAAAUUCUUUUUUUGUGGUAUCUAAAAGAUUAGCUAGUAAUAGAAACUUACCAAAUAACAAAUAGUUUUUUUUUAUUAUUGCCUUUCAAUUAUGUAUGUUUUUUGGGAAGAAUAAAGGAGAUAUUAAAAAUGUGUGACUAGAAAGGAAAAGCUUCAGAGAACAUAAGGUUUUUAUUGGGAUACUAAAUCAGCAUACAGAGAGCCAGAACAUAAAAGACUUUUUGUUUUCUAGCAAAAAUCAAUUGAAAGAUAACCAUAUUUAACUUUAGAUGUACCUUAAAAGAAAAAGAGGCUAAGAGAAAAAAUGAUGAUAUAUUAUAUGAAAAAAUUAAGGACCCAUUAAAAGAAAAAGAAACUGAAUAUAACAAAGAAAAUAAAGUGAGAAAGCAACCUGAAAUCUCUGUUUGCACAAUACAUACAGAAUUGGAGACUGCAAGAAAUAAGUUUAAUUAGGUAAAUAAGCCUUCGGUAAAGUUUCAAUUUUUACUUUAUUUCUUUGGCAUUAUUUAUAAAAUCCUUUUAACUUACUGUAUACAGCCAUGUUUCAGUUAAUGAUGGUAAUGUGGUCUGAGGAAUGUGCUGUUUGGCAAUUUUACCUAUAUGCAGUCAUCAUGUGUGUGCACUUCCACACACUUCAGACAUCUCCCACAAUGCCAGGAAAUGCAGACUUCCAGGACCUCCGUUUAUAUGCAGUCUGCUGUCUCCCAAAGCAUUGGUAUGUGGAGUGUGAACUAUUAUUUGUGUUUAAAAUACAAUGUUAUCUUACUCUAAAAUUAAAUGAUGACAUCUAUGGCAAAACUAGUUACUAGAAAUCUUAGCACCUGGUAUCUACAUCUGUUUAGUAUUUGUUUCCUUAAUGAAGAAGUCGAAUUUGAUCACUGAUAUAAGUACAAAUUUAAGGCUUUUUUAUGUUCACAUACAGACUAAAUAGUUAUGAAACUAGUUAAGACAUUUUUUAAAAGUUUUUUACAAUCACAUUUCUACCUGUAUUUAAGAAAUAUUGUCACUCAGCCAAAUUUAUCUGUCAUUUUUGCUGUUGAAAUGUAAGACAUUUACUUAUAAAGAAUAAAUCUACUCUUUAAUUUUUUUAAGGUACCACUCUUAAAUUAACCUUUUAGAGUUCCUACCAUCUGCUGAUAUGUGACCAAAACCUUGCUGAAAUAAAUUUGUAGAUUUUAGCAGAGCAAAAUGAAACCCACAAUUUCUGUGAGAACAGAAUGCCAGAAUUUACAAUAUGGAACUUCAGUAAAAUGUCUUUGCAAACAAAAAGAGAUAGACAUGUGCAAAAGAAAUAGUUUCCUCUGUUUUCAAAUGAGUGAGUGAGAGAGAGAGAGAGUGUGUGUGUGUGUGUAACAUUUUAUAGAAGGUUUUAAAUCCAUAUAUUUAUAACCAUACUAUACAUAGUUUGGGGGUGAUGCUGGAAUGUUUUGUCUUAUUGAAUUAAGUAAUGUUCUUAAUUCAACUCUAUUUUAAUCUGCAGCAGUCCCAUGAUGACUUUCAGAGUAGCCUCAUCAAGAGAAAAGACUUCUAAUAUUUUCCAUAAGAAUAGAUGAUUUUUCUAUUAUCCUAAAACCCUUGCUUCUAAUAGUAGAUCUUCUAGUUUAGUUUGGGGAAGUGACUUCACUCCCUUGUGUUCAUGUGUGUUAUUCCUCCCACUGUUAAGUAAGGAGGAAAAGUGUUGCCAGCAAAGACCCUGGUUUUGAAUAUUAUUUUCUCACUUUUGAGAAGAGAAACAAACAAGUAAUCUCCUAUUUCAGUAUAAAACACCUUUGGAAACAAUGGCAUACUAUAAUAUGUUCUCAGAAAUAAGUUACUAGUAAGUAUUUAUUCCUAAUCAAUAAGCUCAGUUUAUUUCCCCUAUUAUAUAUUUACUCAUGUUUCAGACUUCACUGAGAUAAAACAAAUGCCACUGAGUAGCAAUCUCAGGAUUUUCUGAGUAUAGCCUUGCACAUUUUGCCUUAUUUACCAUUCAUAUUGUGAAAUGAAAGCCUUCUUUGAUGUUUAUCCAUUCACAGGACAGAAAUAACCGGCUUGGUGGAUGAGCACUAGAAGCACAGGCAAAAGACUUGGAGAAAAUCUUGCAACUUGCCUGUUUUUAGCCUUGCACUCUUUUUCAGAAUAGUGAUACAUUGUUCAUUGAUAUCCAUACAUGUGGUUAGUGCCAUUCCUAGAUAUAUCAUUUAUCAAUAGAUGCAAUUCUCAUACCUAGAUACAGAAUGGUAGAAAAAAGCAUAUGUGAAGAAUAUAUUCAGUAAAAGACCACAUUCCUCUUCCCUAACCUCCCUCCUCUUUGCCCAAACAAAUUUCCCCCAUUUUUCCAAUGUCUCUUCUCUCCUCACUAUGGAUCUACAUCCACAUAUCAGAGAGAACAUUUGGCCUUUGGUUUGGGGGCAUUGGCUUACUUCACUUAGCAUGAUAUUCUUCAACUACAUCCAUUUUUCUGCAAAUGCCAUAAUUUUAUUCUCUUUUAAUGCUGAGUAAUAUUCCAUUGUAUAUAUAUACCACAGUUUCUUUGUCCAUUCAUCUAUUGAAGAACAUCUAGAUUGCUUCCACAGUUUAGCUAUUGUGAAUUGAGCAGCUAUGAACAUUGAUGUAGCUGAAUUACUAUAGUAUACUUAUUUUAAAUCCUUUGUAUAUAAACUAAGGAGUGGGAGAGCUGAGUCAAAUGAUGGUUCCAUUCCAAGUUUUCUAAGAAAUAUCUAUAUUGCUUUAAAGUAUAGAUAAAAGAAUAGAUAAAAUUGGUUGCAUCAAUUUUCAGUCUCACCAGCAAUGUAUGAGUGUGCCUUUUCCCCUAUAUUCUUACCAAUAUUUAUUGUUUUCUGCGUUUUUGAUAACUGUCAUUCUGGGUAGUUUUUAUUUACAUUUCUCUAAUGUGAUUCCAAUUAAAAUUUCAAUGUCAUUCUUUAUAGAAGUAGAAAAAGAAAUCAUGAAAUUUGUUUGGAAAAAAUAAGAGACAGAGAAUAGCCAAAACAAUUUUUAGUAUGAAGAAUUAAGCAGGAGGCAUCACAGUACCAGAACUAUACUACAAAGCAAUACUAACAAAAUGGCAUGGUAUUGGCACCAAAAUAGACAUGUAGACCUAUAGUACAGAAUAGAAUUCAGAGACAAACUCUCAUAAAUAGUUAUCUCAUACUAGACAAAGGCGCCAAAAACAUACAUUCGACUAUUUCUCUUAAAUAGUUUUCAUUGCCAACUUGUUCUUGAAGCAAAUGGCAGAAUGCAGAAUGUCUAAUUUCUUACUACUAAGCAAUUCAUUUAAAAAAUAUACCUAAGUAUUUUAUCUCUCACCCUUAUUUCCACCUUCAUGUCCUGGUGAAAGAUAUCAGUAGAGGUUCAUUUGCAAUAUGUUAUGCCCGCUUUCUGAUUGAUAGCACAUAAGGAUUUUUUAAGCCUUUAAGUCAAAAAAGAUAUAUAUUCCAAAAUAUGAACAGUUCAUUUUAUAACCAGUCUUUAACCAGCUCUGAUGUAGGUGUAAAAUACGUUAGCCUGUUUUAUGGCUUGGAUAUGACAUGUGCCUCAUAUCUCUUAUGUUAAUGCUGGGAUAUUCAGAGAUGAAAUGAUUCCAUUGUGAUAGGUGUAACUUGAUCAGUCCACCCCAGUUUGAAUGCACUCAUGGGGGGAACAGUAGGCAGAUGUGGUGUGGUUGGGGGAGGCAGGUCACUGGGAAAUGUGCAUUAGAAGGAGGCAUCUUCCCUGUGGCCUCUUCUGGCCUUCCAAGUCUCUCUGCUUCCUGACUGUCUUCAAGGGAGCAGAUUCCCUCACUAUGCCAUCUCCCCAUGAUUCUCUGUGUCACCAUGGGCCCAGAGUAAUGCAGUUACUCAUCUAUGAACUGAGACCUCUGGUACCAUGAACCCAGAUAAUCUUUACCUCCUCUAGAUGGUUGUUAUUCUGUGUCUUGAUCACAGCAAUAAAAAUCUGGGGGAAAAAAGCAGCCUGCAUAUGAUUUGAGACACUUUGUCCUUUAUAGAUCAUGAGGUUCUACAUGACAUCCCUCUAAGGACUAGGCCUCUGGCUAUUCUCUAGUGAGAAAUGAGGAUAAGCAAUUACUGUUUAAACUUUAAAACCAUAUUGGUAUCACUUAGUACUAGAACAACAUUCUGCUGAAGUUCUCAAGACUUGACUUUUCCUGUGUUCCUUUUUCUGGUUUCCCAGCUUGCAAAAAGAUGUGUGUGUGUGUGUGUGUGUGUGUGUGUACACACCCACAAAAAAAAGAAAAUAAAAUGUCAACAUUCAUUUAAAAAAUUGAAAUCCAAAAUAUACCUUUAUAUUUUAAAUUUGCAUGUGGAUAGAUAUAGAAAUAUACAUGAGUGUGUUUGUACAUAUAUAUCACUUGAAUUACUUUUACUAUGCAUCAAACAAUAAUUCUCAGAGAUUGUAUAAAACAAAUAGAAAUUGUAGAUUUAAACACAAAUUUCAACAAUGGCAAAUGAUUCUGCUUUCUGUUAUAUUGUCUUUCUAAUCUUAUUGAUUAAGUUGUUAAAUUAUGNUUUUAUGAUUCUGUGUUAGUUAUGUCUCUUGAAGAAAAUAUCAGUGUUUGUAUUUUCAAAAAUGUUUUGCCUUUGGCAAAUGAGUGUUGUCUUACAUGUUGCAUAUGAUAUUGGAUGUAAUGGAAAACAUUGUUAAACAAAUAUUUUCAUUAUGACUCCUGUUCUAUUUAAUUUUCUAUAGUUGAUUUCUGUUGUUAUUUCCAAGAUGAUACAUUUUAUCUUUUCAAAAAAAAAAUGAUCAGAACAUGCACUCAUUUAAAGCCUUCACUAUCCACCUUGACAUUAUAUGAAAUGGGAUAGUAAUAUUUUGCUGUAACUAAUUUUUAAUAACUGGUAUGUAUUUUAAGGGGUUUUAUUUACAAGUUAGCAUGCAAUGCUCAGUGAAAUUUUACAAACCAGGCACCCACCACUGCAUGCAAUUCCUGCAUAGAAAAAUAAUAUCUUUAGCCUGAAAUGCUUUAUUGUCUCUCUCAAAACAGCCCCAAGACUAUUGUUAAUUGUGCUGCUGUAAACAUGCCAAUCCCAAAAAUUAAAACCACAAAUGUUUUCUCUGAUAACUGGAUGCUAGUUCAUAAUAGGGGGGCAGCAUGAGAUG